rnacentral:rRNA from 1 species
UACGUAGGGGGCAAGCGUUGUCCGGAAUCAUUGGGCGUAAAGCGCGUGUAGGCGGCUCGGUAAGUCCGCUCUGAAAGUCCAGGGCUCAACCCUGGGAUGCGGGUGGAUACUGCCGGGCUCGAGUCCGGAAGAGGCGAGUGGAAUUCCCGGUGUAGCGGUGAAAUGCGCAGAUAUCGGGAGGAACACCAAUGGCGAAGGCAGCUCGCUGGGACGUGACUGACGCUGAGACGCGAAAGCGUGGGUAGCAAACAGG